rnacentral:rRNA from 1 species
GGGUUGUGAGGUUAAGCGACUAAGCGUACACGGUGGAUGCCCUGGCAGUCAGAGGCGAUGAAGGACGUGCUAAUCUGCGAUAAGCGUCGGUAAGGUGAUAUGAACCGUUAUAACCGGCGAUUUCCGAAUGGGGAAACCCAGUGUGAUUCGUCACACUAUCAUUAACUGAAUCCAUAGGUUAAUGAGGCGAACCGGGGGAACUGAAACAUCUAAGUACCCCGAGGAAAAGAAAUCAACCGAGAUUCCCCCAGUAGCGGCGAGCGAACGGGGAGCAGCCCAGAGCCUGAAUCAGUGUGUGUGUUAGUGGAAGCGUCUGGAAAGGCGUGCGAUACAGGGUGACAGCCCCGUACACAAAAAUGCACAUGCUGUGAGCUCGAUGAGUAGGGCGGGACACGUGGUAUCCUGUCUGAAUAUGGGGGGACCAUCCUCCAAGGCUAAAUACUCCUGACUGACCGAUAGUGAACCAGUACCGUGAGGGAAAGGCGAAAAGAACCCCGGCGAGGGGAGUGAAAAAGAACCUGAAACCGUGUACGUACAAGCAGUGGGAGCACAGAGCAAUCUGUGUGACUGCGUACCUUUUGUAUAAUGGGUCAGCGACUUAUAUUCUGUAGCAAGGUUAACCGAAUAGGGGAGCCGAAGGGAAACCGAGUCUUAACUGGGCGUUAAGUUGCAGGGUAUAGACCCGAAACCCGGUGAUCUAGCCAUGGGCAGGUUGAAGGUUGGGUAACACUAACUGGAGGACCGAACCGACUAAUGUUGAAAAAUUAGCGGAUGACUUGUGGCUGGGGGUGAAAGGCCAAUCAAACCGGGAGAUAGCUGGUUCUCCCCGAAAGCUAUUUAGGUAGCGCCUCGUGAAUUCAUCUCCGGGGGUAGAGCACUGUUUCGGCAAGGGGGUCAUCCCGACUUACCAACCCGAUGCAAACUGCGAAUACCGGAGAAUGUUAUCACGGGAGACACACGGCGGGUGCUAACGUCCGUCGUGAAGAGGGAAACAACCCAGACCGCCAGCUAAGGUCCCAAAGUCAUGGUUAAGUGGGAAACGAUGUGGGAAGGCCCAGACAGCCAGGAUGUUGGCUUAGAAGCAGCCAUCAUUUAAAGAAAGCGUAAUAGCUCACUGGUCGAGUCGGCCUGCGCGGAAGAUGUAACGGGGCUAAACCAUGCACCGAAGCUGCGGCAGCGACGCUUAUGCGUUGUUGGGUAGGGGAGCGUUCUGUAAGCCUGCGAAGGUGUGCUGUGAGGCAUGCUGGAGGUAUCAGAAGUGCGAAUGCUGACAUAAGUAACGAUAAAGCGGGUGAAAAGCCCGCUCGCCGGAAGACCAAGGGUUCCUGUCCAACGUUAAUCGGGGCAGGGUGAGUCGACCCCUAAGGCGAGGCCGAAAGGCGUAGUCGAUGGGAAACAGGUUAAUAUUCCUGUACUUGGUGUUACUGCGAAGGGGGGACGGAGAAGGCUAUGUUGGCCGGGCGACGGUUGUCCCGGUUUAAGCGUGUAGGCUGGUUUUCCAGGCAAAUCCGGAAAACUAAGGCUGAGGCGUGAUGACGAGGCACUACGGUGCUGAAGCAACAAAUGCCCUGCUUCCAGGAAAAGCCUCUAAGCAUCAGGUAACAUCAAAUCGUACCCCAAACCGACACAGGUGGUCAGGUAGAGAAUACCAAGGCGCUUGAGAGAACUCGGGUGAAGGAACUAGGCAAAAUGGUGCCGUAACUUCGGGAGAAGGCACGCUGAUAUGUAGGUGAAGUCCCUCGCGGAUGGAGCUGAAAUCAGUCGAAGAUACCAGCUGGCUGCAACUGUUUAUUAAAAACACAGCACUGUGCAAACACGAAAGUGGACGUAUACGGUGUGACGCCUGCCCGGUGCCGGAAGGUUAAUUGAUGGGGUUAGCGCAAGCGAAGCUCUUGAUCGAAGCCCCGGUAAACGGCGGCCGUAACUAUAACGGUCCUAAGGUAGCGAAAUUCCUUGUCGGGUAAGUUCCGACCUGCACGAAUGGCGUAAUGAUGGCCAGGCUGUCUCCACCCGAGACUCAGUGAAAUUGAACUCGCUGUGAAGAUGCAGUGUACCCGCGGCAAGACGGAAAGACCCCGUGAACCUUUACUAUAGCUUGACACUGAACAUUGAGCCUUGAUGUGUAGGAUAGGUGGGAGGCUUUGAAGUGUGGACGCCAGUCUGCAUGGAGCCGACCUUGAAAUACCACCCUUUAAUGUUUGAUGUUCUAACGUUGACCCGUGAUCCGGGUUGCGGACAGUGUCUGGUGGGUAGUUUGACUGGGGCGGUCUCCUCCUAAAGAGUAACGGAGGAGCACGAAGGUUGGCUAAUCCUGGUCGGACAUCAGGAGGUUAGUGCAAUGGCAUAAGCCAGCUUGACUGCGAGCGUGACGGCGCGAGCAGGUGCGAAAGCAGGUCAUAGUGAUCCGGUGGUUCUGAAUGGAAGGGCCAUCGCUCAACGGAUAAAAGGUACUCCGGGGAUAACAGGCUGAUACCGCCCAAGAGUUCAUAUCGACGGCGGUGUUUGGCACCUCGAUGUCGGCUCAUCACAUCCUGGGGCUGAAGUAGGUCCCAAGGGUAUGGCUGUUCGCCAUUUAAAGUGGUACGCGAGCUGGGUUUAGAACGUCGUGAGACAGUUCGGUCCCUAUCUGCCGUGGGCGCUGGAGAACUGAGGGGGGCUGCUCCUAGUACGAGAGGACCGGAGUGGACGCAUCACUGGUGUUCGGGUUGUCAUGCCAAUGGCACUGCCCGGUAGCUAAAUGCGGAAGAGAUAAGUGCUGAAAGCAUCUAAGCACGAAACUUGCCCCGAGAUGAGUUCUCCCUGACUCCUUGAGAGUCCUGAAGGAACGUUGAAGACGACGACGUUGAUAGGCCGGGUGUGUAAGCGCAGCGAUGCGUUGAGCUAACCGGUACUAAUGAACCGUGAGGCUUAACCUUACAACGCCGAAGCUGUU